UUUCAGAAAAGUAAGGUAGUAUUGCUUAUUUUAAUUUUUAUUUUUUAUUUUAUACACUUCAAAAAAACUAUCAAUGGCCUUUGUACUGGGGGAUUCAAGUGAAUCAGAAAAGUACUGGGCAGAUUUUUCCUGCCUCUCAACCAGUGCAUUGUUUGUAAAAUAGAAGAUGUGGCACAGUUCAUUCACUCCCUAUUGCCCACACCAUGAAAGGGUGGGAAUCAGUGUAAUGAACUUGAGUACGAAAGGGACUCAAGAGACUGUGUGUGUGUGUGUGUGUGUGUGUGUGUGUGUGUGUGUGUGUGUGAAUGUGUGCUUGUGUGUGGGUGUGGGUGGAUGUUGUGUGGGUGGGUGUAUAUAUGAAUGUGUGUAUAUGCAUACACAUACCCUUUAUAUAAAGAGACAGAUCUAUUUAUCUAUACAUACAUACAUACAUGGUGAUGUCCCAGAGGAUUUACUCAAUUUCCCAGAAAUGCUUCCACUGCUAUGGAGUGGAAGGUUUCAAAAGACCACACUUUAAAUCUGAAAUUCUUACUAAGUCACAGCCCAUUCACAACUAUGAGAAGUUGGAUGGGCUUCUCUAAAUCAGACAAAAAGUACUUUCCAGAAAUUGCCUGUUCAGAACAAUAAACUCUUGGGUUGUUACAAGCUUAAUCUUGAACAGAGCCCUCACAUCCCAUA
rnacentral:lncRNA from 1 species